UACGGAGGGUGCGAGCGUUGUCCGGAAUCACUGGGCGUAAAGGGCGCGUAGGUGGCGCGGUCAGUCAACGGUGAAAGUUCGGGGCUCAACCCUGAAUCGGCCGUCGAUACUCCCGUGCUUGAGCACUGUAGAGGCAGACGGAAUUCCGGGUGUAGCGGUGGAAUGCGUAGAGAUCCGGAGGAAGACCGGUGGCGAAGGCGGUCUGCUGGGCAGUUUCUGACACUGAGGCGCGAAAGCGUGGGGAGCAAACAGG
rnacentral:rRNA from 1 species